UACGGAGGGUGCAAGCGUUAUCCGGAUUUAUUGGGUUUAAAGGGUGCGUAGGCGGCCUAUUAAGUCAGUGCUGAAAUAUCCCGGCUUAACCGGGAGGGUGGCAUUGAUACUGAUGGGCUUGAGUAGAGUUGAGGUUGGCGGAAUUGACGGUGUAGCGGUGAAAUGCUUAGAUAUCGUCAAGAACACCUAUUGCGAAGGCAGCUAACUAAGCUCAAACUGACGCUGAGGCACGAAAGUGUGGGGAUCAAACAGG
rnacentral:rRNA from 1 species